rnacentral:rRNA from 1 species
UACGGGGGGGGCAAGCGUUGUUCGGAAUUACUGGGCGUAAAGGGCUCGUAGGCGGCCAACUAAGUCAGACGUGAAAUCCCUCGGCUUAACCGGGGAACUGCGUCUGAUACUGGAUGGCUUGAGGUUGGGAGAGGGAUGCGGAAUUCCAGGUGUAGCGGUGAAAUGCGUAGAUAUCUGGAGGAACACCGGUGGCGAAGGCGGCAUCCUGGACCAAUUCUGACACUGAGGAGCGAAAGCCAGGGGAGCAAAGCGGG